rnacentral:rRNA from 1 species
GAUGAACGCUGGCGGCGUGCCUAAUACAUGCAAGUCGAGCAAACAGACGAGGAGCUUGCUCCUCUGACGUUAGCGGCGGACGGGUGAGUAACACGUGGAUAACCUACCUAUAAGACUGGGAUAACUUCGGGAAACCGGAGCUAAUACCGGAUAAUAUAUUGAACCGCAUGGUUCAAUAGUGAAAGACGGUUUUGCUGUCACUUAUAGAUGGAUCCGCGCCGCAUUAGCUAGUUGGUAAGGUAACGGCUUACCAAGGCAACGAUGCGUAGCCGACCUGAGAGGGUGAUCGGCCACACUGGAACUGAGACACGGUCCAGACUCCUACGGGAGGCAGCAGUAGGGAAUCUUCCGCAAAGGGCGAAAGCCUGACGGAGCAACGCCGCGUGAGUGAUGAAGGUCUUCGGAUCGUAAAACUCUGUUAUUAGGGAAGAACAAAUGUGUAAGUAACUAUGCACGUCUUGACGGUACCUAAUCAGAAAGCCACGGCUAACUACGUG